rnacentral:rRNA from 1 species
UACGUAGGGGGCGAGCGUUGUCCGGAAUUACUGGGCGUAAAGGGCGCGCAGGCGGCCGUGUAAGUCCGCUGUGAAAGACCGGGGCUCAACCCCGGGGUGUCAGCGGGGACUGCAGCGGCUGGAGUCCCGGAGGGGGAGGCGGAAUACCUGGUGUAGCGGUGGAAUGCGUAGAGAUCAGGUGGAACACCGAUGGCGAAGGCAGCCUCCUGGACGGGUACUGACGCUGAGGCGCGAAAGCGUGGGGAGCGAACGGG